GGAAUUGACGGGGCCCGCACAAGCGGUGGAGCAUGUGGUUAAUUCGACGCAACGCGAAGAACCUUACCAGGGCUUGACAUCCCCUGACCGCGUAUGAAAGUACGUUUUCACCCUCGGGUGACAGGGAGACAGGUGGUGCAUGGUUGUCGUCAGCUCGUGUCGUGAGAUGUUGGGUUAAGUCCCGCAACGAGCGCAACCCCUACGUUUAGUUGCUAACGCGUGAAGGCGAGCACUCUAGACGAACUGCCGUUGACAAAACGGAGGAAGGUGGGAUGACGUCAAAUCAUCAUGCCCCUUAUGUUCUGGGCUACACACGUGCUACAAUGGCCGGUACAGACGGACGCAAAGCCGCGAGGUGGAGCAAAUCCUAAAAAGCCGGUCUCAGUUCGGAUUGCAGGCUGCAAUUCGCCUGCAUGAAGUCGGAAUCGCUAGUAAUCGCAGGUCAGCAUACUGCGGUGAAUACGUUCCCGGGCCUU
rnacentral:rRNA from 1 species